UAGGGAAUCUUCGGCAAUGGGGGGAACCCUGACCGAGCAACGCCGCGUGAGUGAAGAAGGUUUUUGGAUCGUAAAACUCUGUUAUUAGGGAAGAACAAAUGUGUAAGUAACUAUGCACGUCUUGACGGUACCUAAUCAGAAAGCCACGGCUAACUACGUGCCAGCAGCCGCGGUAAUACGUAGGUGGCAAGCGUUAUCCGGAAUUAUUGGGCGUAAAGCGCGCGUAGGCGGUUUUUUAAGUCUGAUGUGAAAGCCCACGGCUCAACCGUGGAGGGUCAUUGGAAACUGGAAAGCUUGAGUGCAGAAGAGGACAGUGGAAUUCCAUGGCUAGCGGUGAAAUGCGCAGAGAUAUGGAGGAACACCAGUGGCGAAGGCGACUUUCUGAUCUGUAACUGACGCUGAUGUGCGAAAGCGUGGGGAUCAAACAGG
rnacentral:rRNA from 1 species